rnacentral:tRNA from 1 species
UUGUGUGUAGUGCAGUUGGUAUCGCGCUUGCUCUGAGAGCAAGAUGCCGGGAGUUUCAGUCUCCCCACCCAGU